ACACCAUUUUUUUUUUUUUUUUUUUUUUUUUUUUUU
rnacentral:ribozyme from 1 species